UCUACACUUCAGGUUCCCUGAUAAGGUUCAGAGAGAGAGAGAGUGCUGAGAAUUAGUUUUAUCAGUCAAUCCUGCUCCAUUCCUUCCUGGCAGAGUUCAUGAAACACUCAAGGAGUUGUGGGUAAAUGAUGAUUCUGUCUUCAAACAAGGAUCUGUGCGACCUUCCAAAGAACUCGGAAUGUCUUUCAUCACAGAAGGAAGAGUGCUGUGGCCUAUUUUUGAGAUGAUUUAUGGUACUUGGAGAUGAGCUUCGUGUGUCUAGCCUUCGGCCGGCAUUCAUUGACUUCCCCAGCACCUGGGAUGCUGCAAUUGCUGAAGAAAUAUUUGUUGAUAACACCCAUCCACAUGACUAUAAAAAGAGCUGAAAACUCUUCACAUUAAGUCCACAUUACUGCAACUCAUUUCUUGUUUAAUGAGUUAUUCCGGAGGAAGGGCAGUAGUGCCUGUCAAAAAAAUUAAAAGGACUUAGCAUAAAAGCCGGGUGGCAUGUUGACCACAACCACACAGAAACGAGUAAUGAAAGGAGGCAGGAGAGAAAGACGAAGCCCUGCUGGGGGCCUCGGCCGGCACAUGUGCACUCAGCUUCCCUUGCCUGCCAUGUGGUGUGCAGCGGGCUGCCUUUGGUUGGUGUCUGGCUGGUGGUGGAGGAUGCCAGGAAAGUGUGAAAAGCCUUAUAAAUGUGUCCUCUGAACAUCGCUGACAAGCAACUGGACUGCAGCUCUCCCAUCUGCCUCUGGCAGGGCUGCCGUCAGCCUUCCAAGUCCAGGAGAGCAGCUGUGUGAUAAAUCACUCGGCGGCCCAAGAAAGUCCAAGUGUUUUCUCAUGGUGAAGAGGCGGCUGCCCUCCAGGUGGUGGUGUCUGUGGAAGAGAAACAAGUCCUGUUGAGCAGCCUCAUGCAGGGAAUUAAGUAAAGGCUUAGGAAGGGUCCUCAGGAAACCUAGAGGGUCUGAUAUUGUUGCAUGAGGCUGGGAAUUUUAUACAUGUGAUCACAAUUAAUGCUUGCAGCGGCUCUGCAAAGUGGGUAUUCUAUUGCCCCUAUUUUGCAGAUUCAGAGCCUAAGGCUCUGGAAGUGUAAAUCACUUUCUGCAGAUCACAUGUCUAGGAAAGGACAGAGUGGGGGACUUAACCAAGUGGGCUGUCGUCAACUGUGUGUCUUCUCUAUGAUAAGGACCUAAGUCACCCAAAGCCGGUCAAUCAACCGAAUUCUUCACUCAGGCAAAUCAUAUGCAUGCACUUCUCUCAUCCUUGAGUCAUUAUGUAUAUUAUUUUCAUCUCAAAAUGUAAAUCAACCUGUAUGACUGUGUCAUUUCACAUAAAGCCUCGCUUUAUGUGUUCCGGGGUCCAGAAGCAUCACCUGAGAGCUAGCUGUAAUACAGAUCAUGCCCCACUGCGCUUUAACAAGAUCUCAGAGGAAUGCAUUAAAGUUUACAAAGCACUGGCCUACUUGGAAUUCUUUACCUGAAAAGGAACUUAGUUCAGUGAUUCUCACACUUGUGUGCAUUAGAAUUAUUUGGUGGGAAGGGGUUAAAAGGAAGAAUUCCUAGAUCCUUUGCCCAAGCUUGUAAUUUGGGAGCUACUGAGUGAGACCUGGGCAAUAUGUGUUCUAACAAGCAGCCCAGCUGAUUUAGC